rnacentral:sRNA from 2 species
UCUGUCGCAACGCCGAAUCCUGCCAGCGGCCGUACGGGAACAGUCGUCGCGUAAGCGCCGUAGGCAGGAGCGGGGGACCCAAGGUAAGUGCCGGGCCCAGCAGUUCACGCUGGACCGGCUUGGGGUGAAGCCGCGCACCGCAGGGUGUGCGACCGGGCAACUCAACCGGCCCGAACCCGACAGCUCACCUCGCAGGCGUCGGUGAGGGGAUCC